UAUGGCCAUAUCGCAUUGAGACACCAGUUCUUGUAUGAUCAUCAAAGUUAAGCAACGUCAAUCCAUGUCAGUACCUAGAUGAGUGACCACUUGGGAAUACCAGGUGCAGUAAG